rnacentral:lncRNA from 1 species
CACAAAAUUUCUGAACUUCGUUGCGAAGUUCACAAGAUUGUUGCGAAGUUCAAAAGUUCAUAAUGAGAUUCACAAACCAGUUCGUAAACUACGCAUUUGAUUGGCUUCUUUUACUUCACGGACCAAUCAGGGACUUUGUUUACAAAUUGGCUUGUGAAUUCCAAUAUGAGCUUGCGAACUUCGCAACGAAGUUCAGAACAUUUGUGGUCAAAGUUUCGUGAAAUCGAUUGUAAAAUCGUCCCCAGGGUGGGGCAUUUUCCACUCUCAGCUUGCCCAGGGGCCGUGCAUUAGUCUUCAAGUUGUGUCCCGGCACCCAGGCAUUUACACUAUCAUAACCAAUCAAAUCAAAUGCCCGGGUGUGUUCCUGGGGGGGAUGGUUACUCCUGGAAUUGACUCAUGCAUUAC